AUUGAACGCUGGCGGCAUGCCUUACACAUGCAAGUCGAACGGCAGCACGGGGCAACCUGGUGGCGAGUGGCGAACGGGUGAGUAAUGCAUCGGAACGUACCUUUCAGUGGGGGAUAACGUAGCGAAAGUUACGCUAAUACCGCAUAUUCUGUGAGCAGGAAAGCAGGGGAUCGCAAGACCUUGCGCUGAUUGAGCGGCCGAUGUCAGAUUAGCUAGUUGGUGAGGUAAAGGCUCACCAAGGCGACGAUCUGUAGCGGGUCUGAGAGGAUGAUCCGCCAAACUGGAACGGAGACACGGUCCAGACGCCUACGGGAGUCAGCAGUGGGGAAUUUUGGACAAGGGGGGCAACCUUGAGCCAGCCAGGCCGCGUGAGUGAAGAAGGUCUUCGGGUUGUAAAGCUCUUUCGGCCGGGAAGAAAUCGCACGGGCUAAUACCCUGUGUGGAUGACGGUACCGGAAUAAGAAGCACCGGCUAACUACGUGCCAGCAGCCGCCGUAAAAC
rnacentral:rRNA from 1 species